rnacentral:rRNA from 1 species
GCCAGCGACAAUACCACGUUGAAUGUACGUAGUACGCACCAGUUCUCCACGGAUCACAGAAGUUAACCAACGUUGCGCGUGAUUGGUAGUCGGAUGGGUGACCAUCCAGGCCAUUGUGUGCUGCUGACU